rnacentral:rRNA from 1 species
CCUACGGGUGGCUGCAGUGGGGAAUAUUGAACAAUGGGGGCAACCCUGAUCCAGCCAUGCCGCGUGUGUGAAGAAGGCCCUCGGGUUGUAAAGCACUUUCAGUGAGGAAGAACGCCUGGUGGUUAAUACCCAUCAGGAAAGACAUCACUCACAGAAGAAGCACCGGCUAACUCCGUGCCAGCAGCCGCGGUAAUACGGAGGGUGCGAGCGUUAAUCGGAAUUACUGGGCGUAAAGCGCGCGUAGGUGGCUUGAUAAGCCGGUUGUGAAAGCCCCGGGCUCAACCUGGGAACGGCAUCCGGAACUGUCAAGCUAGAGUGCAGGAGAGGAAGGUAGAAUUCCCGGUGUAGCGGUGAAAUGCGUAGAGAUCGGGAGGAAUACCAGUGGCGAAGGCGGCCUUCUGGACUGACACUGACACUGAGGUGCGAAAGCGUGGGUAGCAAACAGGAUUAGAUACCCCGGUAGUC